GCAGAGAUAAAAACACGGCCCGGUUGGUAGUCCGGGCGCGGCAGGCAAAGCCUGCUGUCAGUAACCUGCCUCCUUGGUUGUCCGUUCUCUGU
rnacentral:ncRNA from 1 species